AGUGAACGCUGGCGGUAGGCCUAACACAUGCAAGUCGAACGGCAGCACAGUAAGAGCUUGCUCUUACGGGUGGCGAGUGGCGGACGGGUGAGGAAUACAUCGGAAUCUACUUUUUCGUGGGGGAUAACGUAGGGAAACUUACGCUACUACCGCAUACGCCCUACGGGUGAAAGCAGGGGAUCUUCGGACCUUGCGCGCUUGACUGAGCCGAUGUCGGAUUAGCUAGUUGGCGGGGUAAAGGCCCACCAAGGCGACGAUCCGUAGCUGGUCUGAGAGGAUGAUCAGCCACACUGGAACUGAGACACGGUCCAGACUCCUACGGGAGGCAGCAGUGGGGAAUAUUGGACAAUGGGCGCAAGCCUGAUCCAGCCAUACCGCGUGGGUGAAGAAGGCCUUCGGGUUGUAAAGCCCUUUUGUUGGGAAAGAAAAGCAGCAGGUUAAUACCCCGCUGUUCUGACGGUACCCAAAGAAUAAGCACCGGCUAACUUCGUG
rnacentral:rRNA from 1 species